CGAAAAUGGGGGCCGGUGGUCGUAUGUCUGCUCCAAACGGCAAGACUGAAGAAAAGACAAACCCUCUUCAAAAGGUGCCAACCUCAAAGCCUCCUUUCUCCGUUGGUGAUGUCAAGAAAGCCAUUCCACCUCACUGCUUUCAGAGGUCUCUUGUUCGCUCGUUCUCCUAUGUUGUGUAUGACCUCAUUCUCGUCGCCAUCAUGUACUACGUCGCCACCACUUACAUCAACCUCCUUCCAUCCCCGUAUAGCUACAUUGCAUGGCCUAUUUACUGGAUCUGCCAGGGUUGUGUUUGCACUGGUAUUUGGGUUAUCGCCCAUGAAUGUGGCCACCAUGCCUUCAGUGAUUACCAAUUGGUUGAUGACACCGUUGGGCUUAUCCUUCACUCUGCUCUGAUGGUGCCGUACUUCUCUUGGAAAUAUAGUCAUCGGCGCCAUCACUCCAACACUGGCUCCCUCGAGCGUGAUGAGGUCUUUGUGCCUAAGCCUAAAUCCCAGCUCGGAUGGUAUUCCAAGUACUUGAACAAUCCUCCUGGCAGGGUUAUCACACUCACCAUCACCCUCACUCUUGGUUGGCCGUUGUACU
rnacentral:lncRNA from 1 species